rnacentral:lncRNA from 1 species
AUGGCAGAUGGGUACCACUGGGAAUCCUGUUAUAAACAAAGAGUGCAGAUUACUUUGCUCUUUUCCAGGGGAAGAAAGUCACGGACUGAGGGCAGCAUGAAGAAUACUAAAGAGUGUCUAUCAAGGCUGGGCAGAAGACAAAAGAAAGAUGACAUCAGUUACCUCUUUGUACUGUUCCGAGUGGCAUACAACAUGACAAAUGGAAAUUGCUUGCAACUGGUGAGGUUACACUAUAAAAGCCCUUCUACACACCCACAAAGGAGCUCAGAGAGACAAUGGCAGGAGGGGGAGCCCAAAUAA